CGCACAUUUUGUUUGUAACUGGUGUAUGGGAAAUAACACUAUUGGUCCUGUAGAGACAGACUCUUAUUUUCCUUUCUUUUGGUUCUCAAGAGAGAGGCGUUUAAGCCAGCUCUCGCCGGCAGGGUGUUCCCUCUGGUUCUCUUUUGGUUAUAAAACCUUUAUUCAAGCGAAAAAAAAAAAAAAAAAAAAAAGAAGUUACUCGAGGAGAUCAUAUUCUCAUGGGGAACCCUUUUAUGGCGGCUGCAACAUCCCGAGAAAGAUUGUUUGUUAAAUUCCUUUUUGAGCUGUUUGCUUUCAAAAGGGGAUUUUAAAGAGCGGAUUUUUGGUCUGUCUGGAAAGUGAGAGGUUAAGGAGACUUAAUAUCGUAUAAUUUCGGAUUUGCUUAACAUAUGUGUUAAUAGAUUGUUGAGUGGUGAUAUAAAUUAUGUGUGCAAUAUAAAUUGAUUUAGUAGACUAGUGGGACUGUGUUGUUAUAUAUUUUAAAAUAUAUGCUUCUUAGAGGAAAUUUGAUAUGCAUUUCUCUAGUCGUUUCUCAUAUCAGGUUUGAUCUCUGUACAGAGAGUCCAGUUGGAUUUGUUGCAACUCUGUGGAUGAUUCUUCUUAGUAUGUUUCCUUAUCCUUCUGUUUACUACUAUUUGUUCGGUUAAUUGUGUAACUUGAGGAUCUAUUUGUUUGAAUUUGAGGUCUUGACAUGGAGGCUGCAUUUCAGUUUUUUCUCUUGAACUUAUUUGUUAUUUGCUGUACAAUGAAGGGUUUAUUUUCUGUCAUAACUUGAAAUGGAAAAGUAAAAAAAAUUCGUUGUACUUACAUAGAGGAUUCUUGAAUCCCACUGAAAUUGUUUUCUAAGUGAACUAGUAAAUGUAGUUAAUUUUUAAUUUAGUCCAAGAUUACCGCACUUAAUUAUGUAAUUCUAUCAUGUCCUUCAAAUACCUUUUUCCUCUU